ACUGGCCUGGUAUAGUCCUUGGGGUCACAAAGAGUUGGACACAACUUAGCAACUGUACAACAACUAAGGCUUGAAGACAUUUUGUCUUGCUAAAGGCCACACAACUGUCAUGCUGGAAAGCUGUGACUGGGACCCAGGUUUUCUGACAUCUAGUCCAGUUCUCUAUCUCAAGAAGUAUUUAUUGAGUGCCUACUAUGUGCCAGGCACUGUUUUAGGUGCUGGAGAAACUGCAGGGAAUGGAAAAUAAAAUUCCCUGCCAUUCUGGGCCUGACAGUGGAAAGAGACAGGCACAGCAAUUCACAGGUCCCACAAGGGGCAGAGAACCAGCCCAAAGGCUCCACAACCAAGAACAGUGCCCCAAAUCAUGUCAAGCUGCAUCUUACACCAGGAUGGAGUCUGCACAGGCCCUUUUUGGUGUCACUGUCUUCAGAGUCCAAGCCAGAGAUGGGAGCAUCUGAGUGGCCUGGCCAGGUCGUGUGUUUUGCCUUGCAGAAUGGGAGCUGGGAAAGUGCAUUUCUGGCAUUUUCAGCAUGCAUAAUAGGAGGAUUUUUUCACUGACCCUUAUCUUGAUCUGGGUCCUCUGAGAAUCAAAUGCCAUAAUGGUUUUUGCCUGGGAGAAAUGCUUGUAUAGGAUAAAAGUGGAAGGAAUCGGGAAAGAGGAGUGCCUUCAGACCAAGAUGCAGGUAUAACGGGGAAAAGAGAGUGGGAGGGAAGGAGGCUUGGGUAGAAAGAGCUUCAGAUUGCCCUGCGAUUUUGGGGAUGACUCAAACAGGCUGAUGGGGAGUGCCCAGGCAAAGGGAGUCUGCUAAGGCUUCGUGCAUCAGACAGAAAUGGCUGGGUUCUGGUGUCCCCACCAUGCUUGGUCACUGGGAGAAGCCAAAGGAAGCGUAGCCUCAGGAAGAAUGUCACAGCUAGAGGUUCUCAGUCAGCUGUCCUCCCAGAAGCAGGUUCUCUUGAAGGGCCAGCUGAGUGGUGCACCUGCAUCACAGACACAGUCCCUGUUCAGCCCACUUUGAGUGCCUCCUGUGUGCCAGACAUUAUGUAUGUUAAGAUGGUCCCCAGGGACUCCCACAUGAUUGUGGAACAGGGCAGACUGUAAUCUUUCGUCAUCAAUUCAGAGUAAAGUGUCAGAGUUCAGAGGUGUCACUGACAGCCUCAUGGGAGAGCUUGACCACAAGUUGGGCAGAAAGACUGCAUAAGAUCUGGGUAGUUGUAAAAAACGGGAGGAAAUAACGUUGGAAAGAGAGAACAGGGGUCCAGAGAUUGGUGCAGUGGAUUAGCAAGGAGGUAAGAAGUGUGGAAAUAAUCUCUAAAGAAUAUUGAUUUACCUUAAAAUAUCUUUUUUUCCUGAUAAGAUGAUAAUAUUUGUUGUAAGAAUUCCAGUGUUGUAGGAAUAUAGAAUAUUGGCUUCUUUAGCUCCAUGACUUUGGGUAUUUACCGUCAUAUCCCUUGAAUCUAGUACAUUGGCUGUCAAGUAGUAGGUGAUCAAUAAAUAUUUGUUGAAAAAAUAGUAAAUGGAAUGAAAAUGAAAGGGCCAAAGAAUCUCACUGAUCAGAAAUUAGUAUGACAUGAUUAAUGAUUUGGUGAAUAUUUCUUUAGAGUUUUUCCUUUGUUUGUAUCAACAUACUUUACCCAAACAGGAUCAUACUAUUCAUUCAGCUCUACAACUUGCUUUUUUUCACUUGACAAUGCAGCUUAAGCUCAUUUGUAUGUUAAACACCUAGAAUUAAUGUCAUUCUUGUUAAUGACACUGUAUGGAUGUGCAGGACUUUAUUUUAUAAUCUCCUACUAGUGGAUAUCUGGGUUGUUUCCAACUUUUUGAUUUUACAUACAAUACUCCAAUAAGCUUCCUGUAAGCUUAUCUCUUGAGCACUUAUGAAUCUAUUUCUGUUGAAUGAAUUGGUAGAUGUGAAAUUGCAGAAUCAACAGGAUAUAAAUACUAACAUUGCAAAUAAAUCUUGCCUAAUUGCUUUCCAAAAGGUUAUACCAGUUUGCAUUCCUACCAACUGGAUAAGAGUGCCUGUUUAUUCACAUCCUUGACAACACUAGAAUUAAUAACCUGUUUUAUCUUUUCCAAUCUUAUAGGUAAAAAACUAUUUUGGAGUAAGUUUAGUUUGCAUGCUUUUUAAGUAGAGAAGUUGAAGAUAUUUUGAUGCAUUUAUAGACUUUUUAGAUCUCUUUUUUGUGGGAGCUAUCUAUUCAAAUCCUUUGGUCAUUUUUAUUUCUAUUUUUUCUUUUUAUUUCUCUGUUAAUUUAUAUAUUGAGUAAAUGUCAUCUGCAGAUAUGUCUAUCUGACUUGUCUUUUCUCUUGAGCUUAUAUUAUUUUGGACCUUACAGAAUUUAAAAAUUUUAUGUAGUCAAAUUUAUAAAUCUUUUCCGUAAUGAUCUCUGGGUUUUUUCAUCCAAUACUUUCAUCAUUGGAUUUUAUUUUUUUGUUUACCUUGACAUUCUUAGAUCAUUUGAAAUUUGCUUUGGUGUAAAGUGUGAGGUUGGGGCUUCCCAGGAGGCACUAGU